GGCGGAAUACAUUUACAAUGCACGAAAGUAGUGAUAAUGCGAGCCAAAGUAGCCAUUCGUUUUAGAAUGGCUUUUCUUCCGUGUAAAAACCGGGAGGAAUAAGGACUGGGAAAGACUGGUGCCAGCCGCCGCGGUAAUACCAGCAGUUCAAGUCGCAUCCACUAUUAUUGGGUCUAAAACAUCCGUAGCUUGUUUUGUAAGUCUCUUGUGAAAUCCUCGGUCUUAAGCCGAGGGCUUGCAGGAGAUACCUGCAAAGCUAGAGAUCGGUAGACGUAAGGAGUACGCGAGAGGUAACGGUUAAAUGUGUUAAUCUUUCGUGGACUAACAAUGAGCGAAGGCACCUUACGAGGACGAAUCUGACAGUCA
rnacentral:rRNA from 1 species